CUGGCCAUGCUGUCAGGGGCACUGAAUGUGCUGGCUGUUGUAGCAGGACUGAGAUGAGUGCUGAGAUUUGACCUGCCACCCCGCUCCUCCUGUUGUAAACAAAAAAGUCUUUUGGGGAAAUUCUCACAGUACAGUGGAGAAAGCACUAGUCAAAUCACAGGGAAUAAAGCAUGAUGGGAGAGGAGCUUUUGGGCAAACACCUACCUCACCUGAUGAUGAUGAUAAACACCAGUGGCUGGAAAUCUCUGUUGAGACCAAUGUCUGCUUGUCUUCAUCACUUCAGAUGCUGUGAUAAUCCAGAUGCAGAGAAAGGGAAGCAAGUUCAGACUGUUUUCAGGUGCUGGUGGUUGCCCACACAAGGAGAAGGCAUUAUCAUGCCUAGAAGGAGA
rnacentral:lncRNA from 1 species